UCCAGAGUUUGAUCAUGGCUCAGAUUGAACGCUGGCGGCAGGCUUAACACAUGCAAGUCGAGCGGGGGAAGGUAGCUUGCUACCGGACCUAGCGGCGGACGGGUGAGUAAUGCUUAGGAAUCUGCCUAUUAGUGGGGGACAACAUCUCGAAAGGGAUGCUAAUACCGCAUACGUCCUACGGGAGAAAGCAGGGGAUCUUCGGACCUUGCGCUAAUAGAUGAGCCUAAGUCGGAUUAGCUAGUUGGUGGGGUAAAGGCCUACCAAGGCGACGAUCUGUAGCGGGUCUGAGAGGAUGAUCCGCCACACUGGGACUGAGACACGGCCCAGACUCCUACGGGAGGCAGCAGUGGGGAAUAUUGGACAAUGGGGGGAACCCUGAUCCAGCCAUGCCGCGUGUGUGAAGAAGGCCUUAUGGUUGUAAAGCACUUUAAGCGAGGAGGAGGCUACUUUAGUUAAUACCUAGAGAUAGUGGACGUUACUCGCAGAAUAAGCACCGGCUAACUCUGUGCCAGCAGCCGCGGUAAUACAGAGGGUGCGAGCGUUAAUCGGAUUUACUGGGCGUAAAGCGUGCGUAGGCGGCUUAUUAAGUCGGAUGUGAAAUCCCCGAGCUUAACUUGGGAAUUGCAUUCGAUACUGGUGAGCUAGAGUAUGGGAGAGGAUGGUAGAAUUCCAGGUGUAGCGGUGAAAUGCGUAGAGAUCUGGAGGAAUACCGAUGGCGAAGGCAGCCAUCUGGCCUAAUACUGACGCUGAGGUACGAAAGCAUGGGGAGCAAACAGGAUUAGAUACCCUGGUAGUCCAUGCCGUAAACGAUGUCUACUAGCCGUUGGGGCCUUUGAGGCUUUAGUGGCGCAGCUAACGCGAUAAGUAGACCGCCUGGGGAGUACGGUCGCAAGACUAAAACUCAAAUGAAUUGACGGGGGCCCGCACAAGCGGUGGAGCAUGUGGUUUAAUUCGAUGCAACGCGAAGAACCUUACCUGGCCUUGACAUACUAGAAACUUUCCAGAGAUGGAUUGGUGCCUUCGGGAAUCUAGAUACAGGUGCUGCAUGGCUGUCGUCAGCUCGUGUCGUGAGAUGUUGGGUUAAGUCCCGCAACGAGCGCAACCCUUUUCCUUACUUGCCAGCAUUUCGGAUGGGAACUUUAAGGAUACUGCCAGUGACAAACUGGAGGAAGGCGGGGACGACGUCAAGUCAUCAUGGCCCUUACGGCCAGGGCUACACACGUGCUACAAUGGUCGGUACAAAGGGUUGCUACACAGCGAUGUGAUGCUAAUCU
rnacentral:rRNA from 1 species